AAAAAGAUAAGCUAAUUUAAGCUAUUAGGUUCAUACCCUAAUUAUAUAGAAAAUAUCUAUUCUUUUUA
rnacentral:tRNA from 1 species